rnacentral:lncRNA from 1 species
AAUAUAUAUAUUUAAUUUAUAUUUAUAAUAUUUUUAUAAAUUUAAAAUAAAAAUAAAAAUAAAAAUUUAUAUAAUAAAUUUAUAAAUAAAUUUUAUUAUUUUAUUAUAUUAAAUUAAAAUUACAAGAAGUCUAAAAUAAAAAUAAAAAGCUAUACAAAUAGAUCGUCAAAUGUCAGCAUCUGCAGAAGGAAAAUGGACUGGAA